rnacentral:sRNA from 1 species
GCUGAGUAUGGUGGCGCAUACCUGUGAUCCUAGAGACUCAGGAGGCUGAGGCAGGAGAAUCGCAAGUUCAAAGCCAACCUCAGCAAUGGUGAAGUGCUAAGCAACUCAGUGAGACCCUGUCUCUA